UUUUGCAAUGGAAAAUGAAAACAAGCGUUAGUUUUUGGACAGGUUCAGGUGUGCUGAGGUGCCCACAAAGCUGCCUGCAUGCCAUCCUGAGUCUGCUGCAGAGAGGCAGUGAGAGACGCUUGGGUCCCGUGCUCACCAUCCAGGCACCACACCUGGCUGAGCUCUGUUACCAGAUGAUCUACCAGCUGUGUGCGUGCUCGGACACAUCAGGCCCCACCAUGCGAUAUCUGAGGACCAGCCAAGACUUCCUGUUCUCAUCUGCAGCACCUGCCCUUCAUUCUACCAUGUGAGCUCUUCACUGUCAUAUCAAUACAGUGUGCUCCUAUCCUGGUCUUCUCUCCGUCAUCUGCACUGAUCUGAAAACACAGGAUAGGUGGGAGAAAUAUGGCAGAUGCCAACCAGAGCAUUUAUACUCCUACAGAAACCCAGUUGUCUUUUUUAACAGAGCUGCCAGAGAGAAAGGAAACUACUCUGGGUGUCAAUCUUCUCUCUAAACCGUGUCUCUCCCCCUACGCUCUCAUGUGAUGAGAUCUCCACCCUGUCCCAGAUAUCCUGGCUUAUGAAGACAACGGCCAUCGAGCUCAGUGACAUCACUCAACCGCCAGCACUCACACACCCAGCGCCUCCUCAACCUUCUGCUGGACGACUAGCCUCACACUCGGCACGCAGAUAAGACCUACUACUCACUGACUCACUCACUCACUAUGCACCCACACACUAUGAAAGUUGGAUGCAUUGGAUGUAUUGUCAUUCGCUGAUGUAAAUGGGAUAUGAGGAAAUGUGCAAAAAGCAAAAUCCUUUACAGUUAGUCUGUUUCUUUGAUUAGCUGAUGAGGAGACGGGCAUGGAGGAGGAGUCCAAAUCUGUCAGCUGAUUCCUGCACUUUGACACCGUCUCCAAAGGUUAUGUCUAGUUCUUCAGUCUUCACAUAUUUGUGAAUCAUAAUGCGUUCUGUCUGUAAUAAUCCUGGUAUGAAUCAUAUGCAUUCUGUGACAAUAGAGCAGGGGUACUCAAUUCUGACCCUUCGAGGUCAGGAGCCUGCUGGUUUUCUCUUCUACCUGAUCAUUAAUUGCACACACCUAGGGUUCCAGGUCUAAAUCAUCAUAAUACAUUUUUAGAGGGGAAUAAUUAAAAAAUGCAGUGGAACUGGAGUUGAGUUUGAGGGCUACAGAGCCUCUGUAUUAGCAGUUGCAAAAGCUAAGAGCCCCUCUCCUGCCCUGACUCAAGACCUGUCCCUGCCCUCUGGCCCGUACUCUCGUGUGCCCAGCCUGGGCCAGGUUGCUGUUCCUACUGAAGAACAUCGCUGCAUACUUCUUCCACCAGAGCCAGACAAGCUCUGGGAAAGCUGCAGUGCCUGGAGCAGCUACCCCCUGAGGAGCUCAAAGAGGAAACACACAUUCAACCUAUUGACAAGGUGAUAGUGCCUCAGCCCUAACCCUCCUCUAUCCCUGUCUCUCUGUUUGGUGUGUAGCUGUGUCUGUGUCUGGUACUGGAGUAGAGAAUCCAGAGGAGCCUCCUGGUUUAGCUUAUCAACAACAGGGCCAAGCUGCUGGCCUUCUGCUCCUGCAUCCUACCAUAUUAAAAUAAACCAGAUGAAGUCACACCAGACUUCUGUGCAGGGGUUAGGUUUAGGGUUCAUCUCAGGGUGGUUUUGAUUUUAGGGAUUUUGUAGGAUGAUGAUGUGCUGUUGGGUAUGUAUGAUUAAUGACAUGCCCUGAGCUGUAGCUAGUUCAUGUGAGAAUGAGAAAUACCUUGACCUAACCAUACCUCAGAUGUGAUUGAGACCUGCCUUUGUACUUUCUAGCCUAACCUUGAUCAUGAGGGGAAUGAAAAAUCUGACCCUGUUUCAGUGGGCAUCGUCCAACUCCAGAUAUGUGUGAUAAAUGUGAUGUUAGUGGUGUUUCUCAAAUUCCCCAGACUCAUUUGGACAUGCCCUGGGUCUGGCCAGUCAGCCAGCAAGAGCAGCUGCAGAGUGACAUGGGGGGCCGGCUUUGGGGAGGCUCUACAGAGGAAGCUGCAGAGUGACAUGGGGGCAGGCUCUACAGAGGAAGCUGCAGAGUGACAUGGGGGCAGGCUCUACAGAGGAAGCUGCAGGAGGUGGAGGGACUGAACAGCCAGGUCCGCUCCCAUUCCACCUUCAUCCAGGCCCUGGUACGCAGGAUACAAGGCCUGCUCCACCAGCCCAAGAGCUGAAACAGUCAACGACCAAUACAACGAACAAGACCUAAAACCUGUGGAACAAUGUUCACCUAAAGAGUACACCAGGCCAAGGAUAUGGACAUUCCAGAACCAGACACACCUGAUCUUGAGAAUUCUAUUUAAACCAGACUCGACUUCCCCUAUUCACUUCAGUCUAUUCUACUGGCCUCUACUGUCCUCCGUCUCUCCUAAGACGGGCGCUGUGCAAUGUUAGUCUAACUGAUGUAGUUUGCCCAAUAUUUUUUUAUUUUCUUCACAAAACACACCUUUUGGUAUAAUGGAUUUUUUUCUAUAAUGUAAUGAUUUAUUGAUUUUAUUGCAGGGCUAUUCAACUCUUCGUGGUCUGGAGCCUGUUUUUUUUUUUUGUUCUCCCUGAUACUUAAUUGCACCCACCUGGUGUAAAUCAGUCCAUCAUUAGAGGGGAACGAUAUAAAAAGUGGUAUUGGCUUUGA